rnacentral:ncRNA from 1 species
CAUCAAAAACCAAGUCUCUAAGCAAUGGAUGUCUUGGCUCCUCACACGAUGAAGAACGUGGCAUAAUGUGUUAAGUAACCGGAGUUGCAAACAUCAUGACAGGUUAAUCUUUGAAUGCAAAUUGCGCUAAACUCGAUCUCGGUCGAGAAGCAUGGGUGUGACAGUACUACAUCUUUUAUAAUAAUUCUUAUUCUAAGCGAAUAAGUAAAUAAUAUAUAAGACAAACAACACGUAGUCUGCCAUACGCAGGAAGACCCGCUGAACUGAAGCAUCUCAUUAAGCGGAGGAAAAGAAACUAACUAGGAUUCCCUUAGUAAAGGCGAUCGAAAAGGGAACAGCCCAACGUCUUAAUCCCGCAAGGGA